AAUAAUUUCAUACUUUACUAUCCGAUCAUAUUCUAUAAUAACCUAAAAAUGCGUGCAAAUUUUAAUUUAAUGGCUAUUAACCUAUAAAAGACGACAUAACUAAGGCGAUACCAACAGAUUACUUUAUAUUUCUUUAAAAUCCACUUUGUGAAUAUGAAAUUAUUUAUUCUGCUCGCUUUGUGCCUAACUUAUCUCGCUGUUCCUUUGUUUCCAUUUAGAGGAAAUAAUAUAGACGGUAUGCGGCCAUAUCCACCUCCAGGACGUGAAUUAGAGGAAGGCCAAUGAUAAAAAAUGAAACAAGUUUCCAAGUUUUAAAAUAUUUGCAAUUAUGAAUUCA